rnacentral:rRNA from 1 species
UACCGAGGGGGCAAGCGUUGUUCGGAAUUACUGGGCGUAAAGGGCGCGUAGGCGGCCUUCUAAGUCGGACGUGAAAUCCCUGGGCUCAACCCAGGAACUGCGUCCGAUACUGGAUGGCUUGGAUUUGGGAGAGGGAUGCGGAAUUCCAGGUGUAGCGGUGAAAUGCGUAGAUAUCUGGAGGAACACCGGUGGCGAAGGCGGCAUCCUGGACCAAUAUUGACGCUGAGGAGCGAAAGCCAGGGGAGCAAACGGG